rnacentral:ncRNA from 1 species
GCCGAUUUCAGUGUGUGUUCGUUCCUUGAGCGACGCUGAAAGGUAUUGCGCCAGACAACCAAAAGUUGUGCUGUUGCGCGUUGUAGGUAUUAGUUAAGCCUUUAGCUAAUAGACGGGAUACUUAAGCCGUAAAGUCGGCAUACAUAUGGGACCCAACA